GCCCGGCUAGCUCAGUCGGUAGAGCAUGAGGCUCUUAAUGUCAGGGUCGUGGGUUCGAGCCCCACGUUGGGUC
rnacentral:tRNA from 1 species